rnacentral:rRNA from 1 species
AGUGAACGCUGGCGGUAGGCCUAACACAUGCAAGUCGAACGGCAGCACAGUAAGAGCUUGCUCUUACGGGUGGCGAGUGGCGGACGGGUGAGGAAUACAUCGGAAUCUACUUUUUCGUGGGGGAUAACGUAGGGAAACUUACGCUAAUACCGCAUACGACCUACGGGUGAAAGCAGGGGAUCUUCGGACCUUGCGCGAUUGAAUGAGCCGAUGUCGGAUUAGCUGGUUGGCGGGGUAAAGGCCCACCAAGGCGACGAUCCGUAGCUGGUCUGAGAGGAUGAUCGGCCACACUGGAACUGAGACACGGUCCAGACGCCUACGGGAGGCAGCAGUGGGGAAUAUUGGACAAUGGGCGCAAGCCUGAUCCAGCCAUACCGCGUGGGUGAAGAAGGCCUUCGGGUUGUAAAGCCCUUUUGUUGGGAAAGAAAAGCAGCAGGUUAAUACCCCGCUGUUCUGACGGUACCCAAAGAAUAAGCACCGGCUAACUUCGUG